AUGGACAUUGUUAAUGCUAUAUCAGAUGUGGAAUCAGCUAAGCGAGAGCUAGAUAAGCUUAGAUCUGAGCAUGGAUGGAAUCCUCUCCUGAGCAAGGUAUGUUCUUUUUGCAACAAGAAUGAUAUUUCUGUUAUGGACAUGGAAAAGGAGUAUGUAAAUCCAAAGAAGCCAAGGCAAAGGACUGUUAUUAAUAAUGAGCAUCAUUACCGGGUCGACUGUUUUUUUGCUGUUUUGGAUUUAUUGGUAGAAGAACUAAACCACAGAUUCAAUGAGGUAAACAAUGAGUUGCUUUGUUGUAUGUUUGCUUUCAACCCAAGUUGUCGGUUUAGUCACUAUGAUGAUGAGAAGCUGAUGAAGUUGGCGAAGUUCUAUCCUAAUGACUUUAGUGAUAACGAGCUAGACUAUCUUGAGAAAGAGCUUUGCCUCUACAUAGAUAAUGUACGCAAUGAUACAAGAUUUGCUAGCUUGGAAACUCACUACACCACAACACUACAUCCCUAA
rnacentral:rRNA from 1 species